CUGCUCAGAGGUAAACGGGUGGGCCCUCGAAAUCCUGUGGCGGGAGGAUUCAGUCGAAGGUCGUCGGCGCGACUCCCGCGGUGUCUCAGAUCCCCACCAGGGGACGAUCCGCGGGGACGGUGCCGGCUUCUGCCGACGCAUUUGUUUCCCGUCCGAAGGACGCCGCGACCGGUUGGGGAGCGGCCUUAAAGGCGGCCGAAGGCAGGUAACCGACGCCACCGCUCGUUCGGUGGCGACGGCGUUAUAGCCUGGCCGCCGCAUGGCGCGCGAA
rnacentral:rRNA from 1 species